rnacentral:rRNA from 1 species
AGGAUUAACGCUGGCGGCGUGCCUAACACAUGCAAGUCGAACGAGGUAGCAAUACCUAGUGGCAGACGGGUGAGUAACGCGUGGUCAACCUACCGUUGAGUGGGGGAUAACUAGCCGAAAGGUUAGCUAAUACCGCAUACGAGUCUCGGGGGCAUCCCUGGGUCUUAAAAGGAGCAAUCCGCUCGAUGACGGGACCGCGUCCCAUUAGCUAGAUGGUGGGGUAAUGGCCUACCAUGGCUCCGAUGGGUAGCUGGUUUGAGAGAGCGACCAGCCACACUGGGACUGAGAAACGGCCCAGACUCCUACGGGAGGCAGCAGUGAGGAAUUUUCCGCAAUGGGCGAAAGCCUGACGGAGCGACGCCGCGUGUGGGAAGAAGGCCUUCGGGUCGUAAACCACUGUCGAAGGGGACGAUAAUGACGGUACCCUUGGAGGAAGCCCCGGCUAACUACGCGCCAGCAGCCGC